CGUGUAGGCGUCCUGGUUAGUCAGAUGUGGAAGCCUUGGGCUUAACCCAAGAAGUGCAUUUGAUACUGCCGGGAUUGAGUCGUACAUGGGAGGGCGGAAUUCCUGGUGUAGCGGUGAAAUGCGUAGAUAUCAGGAGGAAGGCCAGUGGUGAAGACGGUCCUCUGGGUAAUGACUGACGCUGAGGCGCGAAAGCGUGGGUAGCAAACA
rnacentral:rRNA from 1 species